CUUUAUCCCAUAAUGUACAGAACUCUGAAAAGAAUAGUACCUAUGGCAAAACAGAUAUGCAUCAUCCAUAUUGAAGUAUAAUGCUGAAAAUAAUCUUAUCUGGAAAAUUCUAAGGGCUUCCUGAAGCUCUGAAAUCUUACAAGAGCAGAAAAAAACACAAGUUUUACAGAGAAAAAGGCUAAACCAUGAAUAAUGUGCUGGUCUGUAAUGUGGCUUUGAAGUCUGCUUAUGUAGUCCACGGCUAUACCACCUGAACGCGCCCGAUCUCGUCUGAAGUCUGCUUAUGUAAUCCUGCAAAACCACAGCUUGUAUUGUCCCCUCUUCUUACGCGGAGGUUAAUUCCUGAAGGAAACUGCUGGAUUAAAAAACCCGAGACACAGUGUUUGUGACAUCCAGAGGUGUCUCUUCACUCUCUCACUCUGGCCUGCUCCUGCCUAGCUCAAUUUCCCACCUCUUCAUCCCAAGGCUCCCCACCAACUGCAACAGGAAAACCGAGCCAUGGAAGACUAAGUAUGUGAUUCUAAAAGUAAUUUAUUUCUCCUGUGCCUACAGUCAUGUACUUGCUACAUAUAUGUGGUAUCAGUUAAAAGGUCAGUAUUAAAAUAUUAUAUUAG